rnacentral:rRNA from 1 species
GAUGAACGCUAGCUGGAGGCUUAAUACAUGCAAGUCGAGCGGGAUUGGGUAGCAAUACUCAUGAGAGCGGCGCACGGGUGAGUAACGCGUACACGACCUACCUCUGACAGGGGGAUAGCCCUGGGAAACUGGGAUUAAUACCGCAUAUUAUUCUGAAUAAUAAAGGUUUGGAAUGAAAGCUGAGGCGGUCAGAGAUGGGUGUGCGUCUGAUUAGCUAGUUGGUAGGGUAACGGCCUACCAAGGCGAUGAUCAGUAGGGGGCGUGAGAGCGUGGUCCCCCCANACGGGUACUGAGACACGACCCGACUCCUACGGGAGGCAGCAGUAAGGAAUAUU